CUUCCUGGUGGGCCACUCGGGGGCGGGUAAGUCUAGCCUGCUGGGCUUGAUUCUGAAGCGGCUCGAGCCCACCCAGGGGGCC
rnacentral:tRNA from 1 species